AGGACGAACGCUGGCGGCGUGCUUAACACAUGCAAGUCGAGCGGAAAGGCCACUUCGGUGGUACUCGAGCGGCGAACGGGUGAGUAACACGUGAGUAAUCUGCCCUCCACUUUGGGAUAGCCACCGGAAACGGUGAUUAAUACCGGAUAUGACCUCGCAUCGCAUGAUGUGUGGUGGAAAGUUUUUCGGUGGGGGAUGUGCUCGCGGCCUAUCAGCUUGAUGGUGGGGUAAUGGCCUACCAUGGCUUCGACGGGUAGCCGGCCUGAGAGGGUGACCGGCCACACUGGGACUGAGACACGGCCCAGACUCCUACGGGAGCAGCAGUGGGGAAUAGUGACAAUGGGCGAAGCCUGAUCCAGCAACGCCGCGUGAGGAUGACGGCCUUCGGGUUGUAAACCUCUUCAGCACAGACGAAGCGAAAGUGACGGUAUGUGACAAAAGAAGACACGGCCAACUACGAGCCAGCAGGCCGAC
rnacentral:rRNA from 1 species